UGCCAGCCGCCGCGGUAAUACGUAGAGUGCAAGCGUUGUCCGGAAUUAUUGGGCGUAAAGGGUACGCAGGCGGAUAAUCAAGUCAAGCGUGAAAGGUGUCGGCUUAACCGACAGACUGCGUUUGAAACUGGUUAUCUUGAGUGUAACAGAGGAGAGUGGAAUUCCUAGUGUAGUGGUGAAAUACGUAGAUAUUAGGAAGAACACCAGUGGCGAAGGCGACUCUCUGGGUUAACACUGACGCUGAGGUACGAGAGCUGGGGGAGCGAACGGGAUUAGAUA
rnacentral:rRNA from 1 species